UGAUUACCAUUGGAGGAGGGGCGAGGCGAGGGAGCCGCCAUUAUCCGCUUUCCAGGCUGCAGCUGCACUUUUUUCCGCUAUUGUUUAUAGUUAGCCAUGAUAGCCGAGGAGGAAGUACAGGACGAAGCCAUGGUGGAGGCCGCCGGCAAUGAGCCCGAGGGGACCGGACCAAACGAGGGACUGAAGAUCAACGCAAGUAAAGGCGAGGAGGACGAGGGAAAAAUGUUUAUCGGCGGGCUUAGCUGGGACACUACAAAGAAAGACCUGAAGGAUUACUUUUCCAAAUUUGGAGAAGUUGUGGACUGCACCUUGAAAUUGGAUCCAAUCACUGGUCGGUCAAGAGGCUUUGGCUUUGUAUUAUUUAAAGAAGCUGAAGGUGUUGACAAGGUGAUGGAGCAGAAAGAGCACAAGUUGAAUGGCAAAGUUAUUGAUCCAAAGAGGGCAAAAGCGAUGAAGACAAAAGAACCAGUUAAAAAGAUAUUUGUGGGUGGCUUGUCACCAGAUACACCAGAAGACAAGAUAAGGGAAUACUUUGGAACAUUUGGGGAGAUUGAAGCAGUUGAGCUGCCUAUGGACAACAAGACUAACAAAAGACGAGGUUUCUGCUUCAUCACAUUUAAGGAAGAGGAACCAGUGAAACAAAUUAUGGAAAAGAAAUACCAUAAUGUUGGCUUGAGUAAAUGUGAAAUUAAAGUAGCACUUUCAAAGGAACAGUAUCAGCAACAGCAACAGUGGGGAACAAGAGGUGGAGGGUCUUCAUCAAGAUCUCGGGGAAGAGGAGGCUUAAACCAGAGUUGGAACCAGGGAUACAGCAAUUACUGGAAUCCAAGCUACAGUAGUUAUGGCUAUAACAACCAGGGUUACGGAGGCUACGGCAACUAUGACUACACUGGUUAUAAUUACUAUGGAUAUGGAGACUACAGUAAUCAGCAGAGUGGUUAUGGGAAAACAGCCAGACGAGGUGGUCAUCAAAAUAGUUACAAACCGUACUAAAUUAUUCCCUUUACAACGUUUCACAAACAGCGGGGAAUUCAUUGCAGGCCCUGUGUCGCGCUGACUUCACGAUUCUCACAGGCCCGCUCAAUGCGGACAGGGUACGAGAUGCUCACGCUCUCGAAUGCUGCCGUUUGGUGGACAAACAGUAUUUUCUGGGUUGAAGAUUCAUUUGAGGUGGCUCAUUCUGCAUGCAUAUAGCAGUGCAAUUUAAAUAUAAUUUUAUUUUUUUUCCCUUAAUUUUUUUUUCUUUUUUUUUUUUCCUUCCCCUUUUUGUUUUUAAUUUUAUUUUUAAUGAGACCCUAUAAGAGGGAAAAAUGCUUUUCUCCUAAUUUCUAGAAUUCAUAUAGUCUUAUUUUAUAAUGGUUUCGCUUGUUAAAUUGUGUUCACAUUAUUUCACCAGCAUGGAAGACAAGCUGUUGUGUUUUUAUGCCUGCGUCAUGAUGUAGCUUUACCCACUUUUCUUUAUAAUAAAUCUUCCUCUAAUUUUUUAAUAUAAAA